UUGGAAAUAGAAGUAGUAGAGAGGCUGAUAGAGCAUGAGGCCAGAGUAGAGAGGAAGCUUGGACCAGAAUAGCAUCAGUUGCAGCAUUGGCGAAAUAUUGAUGGUAGAAAAGAGAGCAAAAAUAAAAGGAGUAAAAAAAUUAAAAAAAAAAAAUAUUAGAAGAAUGAUUGUCGAUCGGUCGUCGUUGCACUGCUCGAGUGAGUGAGCAAGUGAGUGAGUGAAUGAUUGACUGAGUAAAUGAGAGCGAGGGAGAGAGAGAGAGAAAAAAAUAAAGAGAAAGAGCUUAAAAGCUUACCCAGUGCUGGUGUCGUGUAGUCCCAGCUCUCGGCAUCAUUCUUGUAUACAUUAAGCUUGGUCGGCUGAAACAUUUCAAAAUAAAGUAUUUCAAUAAUAAUAAUUAUUAGAUACACAAGUUUGAACCACUAAAUUUACUAUAAAUGUCUCAUAAAAUAUAUAUAAUCGUAAUUAAAUUGCCAACGGAAAGUGUGAGAGUUGAUGGAGAGAAACGAAUGACAAAUCGUAAAGAUCACGCUUACUCGUGUAAAUUGUACAAGAUUCAUAUGAUAUUUAACUGAAAUUACAGAAAAUUACUUUGGCGUCGUGGAUGAGAAUACUGAUUAUUAUUAUUUAAAUUAUUAUGAUUAUCAAGAUGAUGAUGAAGAUAACGUGCGGUGCCAAAGGGAAAUACCAAAGUUUCUGGUAAUGUAGCCUACUACUGGAGCAUCCCUGUCAUAUCAACGUCAUGUCUCUGAAAUACUUGAGCUAUAUUUGUCCAGUGAACCAACUGCCAGCGGAUGCCAUAGUCAACGUUUUAAAUCACAUCUAGCAUAUGCAUAAGUGCUCGUUUCCUAGGUUUGAUGUAUCGUAAAAUGUUAUUACUGUUAUGAUUACGAUUACGAUUGACGAUUUAAAUUUUAAGUAUCCGGUUGAUUAUAACUGCCUUUAUGUAUAGUACUAUAAACUGAUAUUUUAUGGGUUCUUAUCGGUUCUGGAAUGUGAUUCUCGACAUUUAGUCAAGGGGAACAGAUCCCUUAAAGCAUAUUUGUUUUAGUCAUACCAACGGUAAUGUAAGUUGUAGCAGUAGUUGUAGUAGUAGUAGUAGUAGUAGUAGUAGUAGUAGUAAAAUCAUCUGACUAUUUUUGGCAGGCACUCACGUGCUUUCUAGACCGCCAAACUGCUAAAUCGCCUAGCAUAUAACCCAGCGUAGAAGCAUUAAACGAGAGUAUUAAUUCAAGCGGCUGGCAGACGUUGAAAGACGAGCCAACGAAUUCGCGGACUCUUCUUCAACCGCUACUACACUGCCUCGCAUUUUCUCUAUCUCUCUAAUUUUCUCAUUCGCUUUACUUUCUCACUGUCUUGUAUAGAGUCUGAACUUUAUAUAUUUAUAAUAUAUACAUUGUAUGUACUUGCUUUCUCUUUCUCUCUCUCUCUAUCUCUCACUGUCUUUCUCGUUUGGUCGAUCGAUAAUUCGCGACCUGCGUACGAGUUAGCACGUUGUAAAGUUUUAACUUUGAAUAAACCAACGACUUCUUAUGCUUACCUUGGCAAAGUCAAUCUUCAGUGUGCAGCAACCCGAGUAAAUGUCACAACCGUGAAGGGCUUCUUUAGCCCGCGUUGCUGACUCUACCGAGUCAAACAAUAAAAAGGAUAUUCGACCAUAGCCUGAACGCCGUUUUUCUUGAAGAUAACGAUACGUUGUACCUGUCCACUUGGGGCACUGAUUGUGUGCAGUACUUCCUGUAACAGAUGUUUAUAAAUGAUAUUUGACCAGUACAAAAAUAGUAUCUUUUAGAUUUUGAUUCUGCUGGCAGUCGCUUGACCUCGCUCAACUUAAUCCAGACAACGGUGUCGUCUUGCUUGAGAAAUGAGCCGUCGUUAUGCCUCAAAGUCAAUGAGGAAUUUACGAAUGGUAUGAACGUUAUUUAUCCACGUGGACUGUUUUGUAUAAUACAUACAAGCAUAAUGUUCGUGGAUAGUAAGCUUGUCACAACACACAACGAUCUUUUAAAUUUUUGGCUCGUGAUAUGAGAUGAGAGUGCAGACAGAGUGCUCUGAUGUAUAUGUUCAUCAUAAAUAAUAAUCAUUCUUUACAAUCUACUUGCAUUAGCGUCUAUGUUUAAUAAUAAUAAAUAUUAUUAAAGUACAUAUUAUGUUGUUAUUAAAACUUACGACUGUUAUUGGAUAAACUGGGUUGAUUAUUGUAAACAAUAAUACGUGAUUCGGUUUAUUAUUGUCUUCUCUGUAAAAAAAGCAAUAAAUAUUUAUGAGCUAAUUUUUCGGCCAAGUACAUUAUAUAUGAAUGAAUAAAAUAUUAAAGAGGUUCAGAGCUUGGCAUUUUCAUUCUUUUAUAAAAUUCUUCAGACCUUAUACUAUACACACACAUAUAUAUGUAUAUAUGUAUACAUAACUCAUAAAAUAUGGCCAAUUGUAAAACCUUUCUCACUUAUUCUUUUUUUUUUAUCCUUAAUAUUUAAAUAUUUCUUCAAAUUUUAUGUUAAGUAAAG